rnacentral:lncRNA from 1 species
ACACACACACAAACACACACACUGGCAUUGCUGGUCCUAUUGUGAGCAUGGUCAGGUCCUCAACCAGGUCCUGGCAGCUGAUCAGUUUGCUUCUUGCAGGAGUAUGGAAUGAUUUGGUUCUCAGGUGCUACAGGCCAGAUGUCUGACCUGAACAAAAUGAUGGUGCAGGAUCUGAGUACAGCUUUGGACCACAAUAAUUCUCAGCACUAUACACAGGCCACGUUCAAGCUGACUGCAAUGCUCAUUAGCAGCAAAGACCAAUGUGUAAGAGAACAUUUAGACGUCACUGAGAGGGCUCUGAAUCCCUCCAGUUCAGUAUUUCCCUCUCGACCUCCUCCUUCCCUGGCAGUGAGGGAAUGUCUGCUGCUAAGGCCACUCUGCCCAUACCUCUGUGUGCUGUAG